GAUGAACGCUGGCGGCGUGCCUAAUACAUGCAAGUCGAGCGAACAGAUGAGGAGCUUGCUCCUCUGACGUUAGCGGCGGACGGGUGAGUAACACGUGGAUAACCUACCUAUAAGACUGGGAUAACUUCGGGAAACCGGAGCUAAUACCGGAUAAUAUAUUGAACCGCAUGGUUCAAUAGUGAAAGACGGUUUUGCUGUCACUUAUAGAUGGAUCCGCGCCGCAUUAGCUAGUUGGUAAGGUAACGGCUUACCAAGGCAACGAUGCGUAGCCGACCUGAGAGGGUGUCCGGCAACACUGGAACGGGGACACGGCCCAGACUCUUACGGGAGGAAGCAGUGGGGAAUCUUCGGCAAUGGGCGAAAGCCUGACGGAGCAACGCCGCGUGGGUGAUGAAGGUCUUCGGAUCGUAAAACUUGGUAAUUGGGGAGGAACAAAUGUGAAAGUAACUAUGCACGUUUUGACGGUACCUAAUCAGAAAGCCACGGCUAACUCCGUG
rnacentral:rRNA from 1 species